rnacentral:lncRNA from 1 species
AUGUUCCUGUUUUCAUUUCCCAGGGAGGACACAGAGACAGGGAGGCUGGCAGACCGGGCUCCUCAGUCACAUUCCUUCCCUCCGCAAGCCUCCCUAUGACUUGGACCUCCAUUGGAAGAAAGACUCCGCCAAGCUCAGGUUAGAGACCUGAGCCUUCCGUGCUGCUGGCUUAAAGCAAAAGCUGUGCUUGCUGUGACAGUUCACCUGAGCACCUGUGUGUCCACGGAGAAUGGGAGAUACCCAUGCCCCAGUGAGACCUCUGAUACUGGUGAAAGUGUGACAUCUCUCAGAAGCAAAACCCGAC